UACGGGGGGAGCAAGCGUUGUUCGGAUUUACUGGGCGUAAAGGGCGCGUAGGCGGCGCAACAAGUCACUUGUGAAAUCUCCGGGCUUAACCCGGAGCGGCCAAGUGAUACUGUCGUGCUAGAGUGCGGAAGGGGCUACUGGAAUUCUCGGUGUAGCGGUGAAAUGCGCAGAUAUCAGGAGGAACACCGGUGGCGAAGGCGGAUCUCUGGGCCGAUACUGACGCUGAGGAGCGAAAGCGUGGGGAGCGAACAGG
rnacentral:rRNA from 1 species